GCGUUCUUUCAAAAGCCGGUUCCACCAUUUCUUCCUCCGGGGUCCGGAGACGUACUCCCAGCUGUCCUCUUCUCCUGGGCUCUGGGAGAGAAGGAGAACCACGGCCUCCCUGUCCUCCGCUAAGGGGUCUCAGAGCCUUAAACCGCUUCUCUCUGGACUUCUGACCGGUAGCCUCUACAUCCCUGCCCCGCCCCAGGCUUAACUCAAAGCUGACCUUCCACCGGUACGGGACCUGCCCCAUGGUCUUUAUGGGUAUGUAAAUAUAAAUUGUCCUCAGUUUUUCAGAUUUUUAGCUACCUAAUUCAAGAAAUGCCUUCCUGUCCCUGAUUUCCAUCCUUACCCCAUUGUAGUGGGACGAAUCCACCGCUACCAUCUCUAGACGCCUACUACUCUAUCUGGCAUCCCUCAUCUGUACCUCUCAUGAUAUUUGACAUAAUUUUCUAUGGCUACUCUAUUGAAACACAUGCUUAAAAGACCUCAAAAAUAUUUUCCUCUGGUUAUUAGGUUUGCUGUCUUAGAACAUAUUUUUCUCCUUGUACUAACUUGGCAUUCCCAACCAAACGAUUCAAACCUGAUCCUUACAAGAACAAGAAUAUUUUUGUUAGCAGCAAGAAGACGAUUUCAAAGUGAAAUUGUCUCCACUACAGAAAUGCAACAGCGAAAUUCCUAUUUUAGCAAAUAGAGAUGGGGGCUGUUUGAUCUUUUCAAAUGCCGUGAAAAAGUAAACUUUUAAAAAAUGCCUAAAACAGCUGCCUAUUUGUCUUUUAUCUAAGCUUAGCUUGUUGAAAACGCUUUUAUGAACCAGUCUAGCAUAUUGUGGAAUACGUUUUUAUUGAAUGAAAGAAUGGCUCCUCUAUAUGAGGUUUAAAGGUCAACUACAUGGUCUGACCAGUGCAGAUGUUGGUAACCCUGUGCAAAUGCUGUUUGUAGGUCUGUAAUUCCAAAGAGUGUUUUUUCACUCUGAACGAUAGAAUAAAGCAUUCAGCCUACUUUAUCACCUUAUCAGGAGUUGUUAUAAAUGGACCACCUAGUUUUCCUUCAUAGUUAAGCAAACUUAAUUCUAA
ensembl:lncRNA